CUUAGCUGAGGUACAAAAGGGUUAUUAGACUUUUGAGUCCAUCUGCUACCCAUGCAAAGGAAAUAGUCAAACUAACACUGCCUGCUCUUUUCCUUGGUUUCUUGCCACCUUAAUUAUAGUUCAUCUGAGUUAUGUGUGUACUUGCUGCCUUGAGUAGAACAUUUUCCAGGACUGUAAGAAAGCAGAGUGAAAGCUCAGGUAAGGGAAUUGAAGCAGAAUUUGCAGUUACAGCUUGGGGGAAGGGGUCAUCUGGUGACUUACCCAAGCAAUCAAACCAACAGCACGGGCUACCCACAGUUCAUGUGGCUUCAAUGGCAAUUAUUGCCAAACUAUUUUCAUGGAACUUUUCAAUUCAAACUUGGUCCUAGUUUUUGUUUUUAAAUAUUUGUGAGUGUGUGUAUAUGUGCUUUUUGUUGAGAUUGCUAUAUCAGGGUGUUUUUGUUUUUUUUUUUGAAUGAUAGAAAUUGUCUUUCAUUUUUAUUUACCUAUCCUGUUUUAGAUCAGUGGUCAGCCCUGUUUUCUGCUGGGAUAAACCUUGUGGAAGAUCUCUUCAUGCACAAAGUGACACAGGUAUAUCAUUCAUCUGGGUCUGUGGCCUAGAAAAGACAGACUCUGAGUUUUGUGCAGCUCCCCGUGAGUUAGUUAACUUCAUCUAUUUCUUUACAGUCAAUUUGAAACUCAUUAAGGUUACUAUACAACAAAAAUUGCUGCUCUAAGAAUAUGCCAAAUACCUUCAGAAAAGAUGAAGAAAAUGAAGUACAACAAAAUCAAGCUCUUCGGCACAGGCUUCCAGGCACCAAGAGAUUUGGGACUAGCAUACAGAUCCACCACCCCACAAACUUACCUUUAUCACAGUUACAUAUUAAGAAUUUUAUAUUUGUACAUCUUAAUGCACCUUGUUUUGUAGGGCUGAUUGGAGUUAAGACUUUUUUUGCCCUCUGGCGACAUUGUAACUGUGAAAGCAAUGGAC
rnacentral:lncRNA from 10 species